CAUAGCCUGGGCCUCUUUCCUCAUGCAGCCAGAGCAGGGCUCCCCGUAACGCUGCAAUCGAUCUCAGGAAAACUACAAAGAGUUCCCACCAACUUAAAAUCGAGCCCGUCACCUCGACCAAUCAGAGCAUCGUCAGCCGGGGUCACGACCACAACAAAGAACCGUGGAGUGAUUCAACAGCCGAGCUCAGAGGUCACGCACCGUGCUAACGUUGUAUGUGUUCUUUGCUAAGUCUCCGCUCCUUUCUCCUCAAGUCAAGUGUGAUGUUUUGCGGACUCCGGCAGGGAACAACACGGUUAGUUCCGUGACGGGUCGCCUCCCCUCGUCGAAGGCCAACGCUGGAGCGAAAGAUCUCUCUCGUGAAUGGCAUUCAGCACAUCCAAUCCGAAGGCUUCCACUCAAAUCCAACACGUUACAGAGACCCGGAAGCCCCUGAGAUGUGGCCAGACGGCGAGGCGCGUUGGACGCCGCCUGGAGGUCAUCACAGCCCGGGCCGACGGUACUCCCCUGAUGUCCCUCCUCUCCUCCCCCUCUCCUCCCCCUCUCCUCCUCCCGCUCGGGGGAGAGGGAGGUGCGGGCGUCCUCUGUGCUGGGGGGGGGACACGCCGAGCGGACCCCUGAACCCGUAUAGAAAUAAAUAACAAUGCAAAUAAAAGAAAUGACUGAGAGGAGACGGGGAGUCGUCCUUCACCGGGAACACAGCGGAACGUGCCUCCCCCUCAAUGCUCCCAUCCAGGGGGGACUCCUCAGGGGGAGAGAGGGAGGGGAG